rnacentral:ncRNA from 1 species
AUAAAAACUUUGAAGAGAAGAGUAAUAAAACAAAACUUUUGUAGAGAGUUCUCGUUUGGUGCAAGAGAAUAAAGUUAGAGUUUAUGAAGAUGGCCUCUGAGUUGGGUUUCUGAAAUUUGAGUAGGAAAUCUCGGGUUUGCCCGUUAUCGCAAAAGAACUUGUUAGAGUUUGAAAUAGGCAUGCUGUUUAGGCAUUGUGAAAAAGGUUGGUACCACGUGAUUAUAUAUCUCGUCCUUGU